UUGGGGUUGGGGUUUAAGGGAAUGGUUUUUGUGGGGUUGGGAUUUAUGGCAGUGGUUUGGGUUUGGGAUGUUCUGUGUGGGGUUGGGAAUGAUCUGUGUGGAAUUGGGGUUUAUGGGAAUGCUCCAUGUGGGGUUGGGAUUUAGGGAGCUCAGCUGCCCGAGACGAGAGGCAGAGGUGGGGGCUUGAUAAAGGGAUUUGAUUGAUAAAGGAAUGGAUUUGAUUGAUAAAGGAAUGGAUGUGACUGAUAAAGGAAUGGAUGUGACUGAUAAAGGAAUGGAUUUGAUUGAUAAAGGAAUUGAUUUGAUUGAUAAAGGAAUGGAUUUGAUUGAUAAAGGAAUGGAUUUGAUUGAUAAAGGAAUGGAUUUGACUGAUNAACGUGCCGGGCACCCCCGGCCCUGCCCAGGCUGCUGGGAGAGGCAGGAAACUGCUGAGGGUCACCAAGGUGCUGGCACCUGGAAGAGAAGAAAAAAUGAUUGUGGAGCUGAACAAACCUUCUGCCAAAAGUGGCUCUGCCCCUGCUGAGAAUUCAGGGAAUUCUGGAAUUCAGGUGAAGAGCCUGGAGGAAAUCAUGUGGGAGAAACGGCAGCAGAAACAGCGGCAGGAGGAGAAGCUGCAGCAGGGAGCUGGGGCAAACCCGGCCGAAAUCCAGGAAAAAAACCAGGAUAAAAAUAAAAACCAGGAAAAACCCUCAGGAUCAGGGAGCCCCGAGGCUGCUGUGGGCUCAGCCCAGCUGGGCAGGAGGAGAGGAGGGAAAAGCGGCGAGGAUGGAGCGGGAACUGCAGAGAAGGAGCCGGGGAAAAAGGGAGCUCAGCUGCCCGAGAGGAGGGGCAGAGCCAAGCCCAGGGUGUCCCUGCAGCCUCUGGACGCCAGAGCCCCUCCCAAGCAGCCCCUGAAGAGGAAGGGCCCCGAGUGCCCCCCGACUGUGGUGGCAGUGAAGCCUCUCAGUGCCACCAGCGGGCACAGCCCGGGCUGCCCAGCCAAGGUGAGGCCCCAAAUCCCCCCAAAAAACCCUGGAAAAUUGAAAUGUUCUCCAUUUCAGCAAUGCCCUUUUCACCCCACGGCUCUCAGGGGCAGCACAUUCCUGCUUUGGAGGCAUCUCCAAAAUUCCCUGCUGGGAUUUGGGAAUAUUUUGUCCUUUCCAAGGCAGAAAUUCCUUAAAAAAAACCCAAAUUCCUCAUUUCAGGAAUGUCCUGCUUCCCUAAAAUUUGGGAUUUUUUCUCAUUUCACAAAUGCCUGAAAUUUCAUUUCAGAAACUUCAUUUCAGGAAUCCCUAAAAUUUGGAGUUUUUCCUCAUUUCAGCAAUGCCCUGCUUCAGGUGAAGCACAAAAGGAAGAAUCUCCUAAAAUUUGGGAUUUUUUUAGAUCCUAAAACUUGUCCUGCUCCUCAUUGCCAGGUUCUUCAGAAUUCCCUGGUGGGAUUUGGGAAGGAUUUUUUCCCUUUCCAAGGCAAAAAUUCCUUUUAUAAAACCCCAAAUUCCUCAUUUUAGGAAUGUCCUGCUUCAGGUGAAGAAUCUCCUAAAAUUUGGGAAUUUUUUUAGAUCCUAAAAAUUCUCAGGUUCUCCAAAAUUCCCUGCUGGGAUUUGGGAAUAUUUUAUCCUUUCCAAGGCAGAAAUUCCUUAAAAAAAACCAAAUUCCUCAUUUCAGCGAUGCCCUGCUUCAGGUGAAGUAGAAAAAGAAAAAUCUCCUAAAAUUUGGGAUUUUUUCUCAUUUCACAAAUGCCUGAAAUUUCAUUUCAGGAAUCAUUUCAUUUUAGGAAUCUCUAAAAUUUUGGAUUUUUCCUCAUUUCAGCAAUGCCCUGCUUCUGGUGAAGAAUCCCCUAAAAUUUGGGAUUUUUUUAGAUCCUAAAAAUUCUCAGGUUCUCCAGAAUUCCCUGCUGGGAUUUGGGAAUAUUUUCUCCUUUCCAAGGCAGAAAUUCCUUAAAAAACNUGGCCGACAGGCUGGGCAGGAGGGCGGAGCUGCAGCACGGCCACGACCGGGCCCCCAGGAGAGGAACAGGUACAGCCGGGGACUGGGGUUUUAUAUGGGAUUGUGUAUUGGGGUUUUGUAUUGGGGUUUUAUAUUGGGAUGUUAUAUUGAAGUUUUGUAUUAGGAUCUUGUAUUGGGAUUUUGUAUUGGGGUUUUGUAUUGGGAUUUUGUAUUGGGAUAUAGUAUUGCGGUUUUAUAUUGGGAUUUUGUAUUGGGGUUUUGUAUUGGAUUUUGUAUUGGGGUUUUGUAUUGGGGUUUUGUAUUGGGAUUUUA
ensembl:lncRNA